ACCAAGUGAAUUCACUGCUUUUAUUGCAUUUAAAUAUAUACAACUUUCCAAAUCUCAGUUAGGCUAAGUUUAAAACUGUGAAGUGAACUGAUUAACACUUUGUCAACAUAAUAUUCAUUAGUACAACAUACCCAGCCAUCACAGUGUCUCAAGACGUGAAUAAGAAGAAUCAAGACGUCUCAAGACAUUUGUGCACAUCAAGACGUCUUAGGAGAUCUUAAGACAAAAAUCUGAAGACAUGCACCUAUGUCUUAAGACAUGCAAUUGCAGGACAUGAGAUGCUCUCAGAUAGUAUUUUGUGUCUUGAAGACAUUGAGUGUCUUGAGAUGUCUUAAGACAUAUUUUUUUGUCUCAAGACAUUCAAAUCUUAAAAUGGCUUAAGACACCCUUUGCAGCCUGUCUCAAAAGCAUGGCAAGCUAUCUUGUUUCAACAAGAGUUUUAUGAUUAAAAUUUGGGGGCAAAAAGGGAAAAUAUGGGCAUCAUGGGUUGUGUUGCCUUUCAGGCAUGAAUCUGAAUGGACCUUUGUUUUGAAGGAGCUCUUAUUUUGAAGGGCAGUUUUUACUAACAUUCCAAAUCUCAGGUUUGUUUGCAGUUAGUAACCAGUUAGUAUAUGGCAGUUGGAGGUGGUUAGCAGAGUUCACAUUUUGCUACAUUUCUGUGUCCACUACCUGAAUUUAUCACCGUAAAUGUCACAGAGGCAAAUUCGUAAGUUGAUAAUUUCAUAAUUACAUUUAUAGGGUUUAUAUUUACUACACAUUGGGGAGCAAAUUGAUAUGCUGGGCCAACCUAUGAUUGGUGACUGCAACCGCUUUGAGCGACACCACCAGAGGAUCAAGGACUUGGGUAGGUAAAUUUUCCAUACAUUUCAUAUACUAGGUCCUGAAGGUGUUUGAAGCUCACUGUCUUGAUAUUUUUGUUGUACUUCAGUUAUUGCUCAUAAAAAUGGUGUCAGUAUUGAAAAAUGAAUGGUGAAGAGGAUUGCUGUGUUGGAUACCCUUUGCACACUGUCAACACCAAAUGAGGAAACAGCAGAAAAUACGUCUGUUCCCGGCCUUUCAGGCUACGCCCCGGUUUACAGGCCAUCAGGAUCAGCCACAGUGAUAUUUGCAGCUGAACUUCGUCAAAGACAUGGGCUUGGGUUGCACCUUGGAAGCCAAAUGCCAGAGCUAUCCCACCUGAAAGUGUCAAAAAUGAUGCGCCAGCCAGACCUCAUGGAGAGAAUGGGGGAUAGAGUCCUGACACAGGAAGAGAUCUUCCUUGGCCCAAAGAUUUGAUGUAAAGACUCUCAGAGUUGGCUCAUUUGUGAAGAUAGCCCCCUUCAACCCAACCCAUGUGAAUGACAGUGACAGGCAACUAGUGAAAAUCAUGCACAAUGUUUCUCCCCAGAUAUUCCUCUGGUCCCGUUUUAGGUUACCACUUUCUUGCUGCAACGCACAGAAGACCCACUGACAGGCUGCUAUCAGUAUCAAGAAGGGAGAAAAAAAUAAUUUUUCCAACAUCAGCCAUCACUGACACCCUCCUGUUCCUCCACCACAAAUGCUUCUGGGAGCUAAUUGAAAACCUAGGGAUCGGGACAAAGUCUGCUGCCUCCAAUGGACAGUACUGUCAAGUAGUUGAAAAAAAAUCAUUCACAAUCCAAGGAACAAAUUGCAUCUUAGAAACGGAUAUCCACACUCUUAUACAGAGUAACCUAGUGAUGGGUCCGGCAACACCGAUGCGUCGGCGCAAGUGUCAAGCUCAUAGAGCAAAACCCGUGUCGAUGCGCGUAUCGACACCACCGAGCUAUAUUAUCGACACGGGAAAGUCACGUGACCGAUACAGGAACUGUUUCUGUUCCCUCUAACUGUAAACAAAAUAACGGU